rnacentral:lncRNA from 1 species
UAUUCCUGGUUGUCAACUUGACAAUAUUUGGAAUGAACUACAAUCCGGAAUUGGAAGGCUCACCAGUGACCCUUAUCUGGAGGCUUGGAGAUCCUUAUCUGGAUCUUGGUUUGAAGAUCUUGAGCCAUAGUGGCUAUGGAUUCCAGAAGAUUGAAUCUCCGAGUUAAGGAACACACCUUUAAUCUGGGCUAUGCCUUUCAUCUGGGAUUAAAGGUGUGGUGGAACACACCUUUAAUCUGGGCUAUGCCUUUCAUCUGGGAUUAAAGGUGUGGUGGAACACACCUUUAAUCUGGGCUACACCUUUUGCUGGAGACAAUAUAAGGACAUUGGAAGAAGGGAGUCUAGCUCUUGCUCCUGCUCCUUCGCCUGCUUGCUGCGUGAGACUGAGUAACUGCUAGAUCCUUGGACUUCCAUUCACAGCUGUGACUGAACGAUUGUUGGGAAUUGAGCUGCCGACUGUAAGUCAUCAAUAAAUUCCUUUAUUAUCUAGAGACUAUCCAUAAGUUCUGUGACUCUAGAGAACCCUGACUAAUACACAUUGUUUCCUUGAUUUGUUGGUAUGUUUGUCAUUUGAAUUUAGGAAGGCUAUAGAUUUUUGUGUGUGCUUUUUUUUUUUUAACCUUGCUUCUUUGCUAAUGUGUUUAUCAGAUGCAGGAGAUCUCUGGUCGAGUCUUUAGGAUCCUUAAUGUAUAGAAUCACAUAAGCUGUAAAUAAGGAUGCUUAGAAUUCUUCCUUUCCUAGCUGUUUCCCCUUUAUCUCCUCCACUUGCCUCCUUGCUCUAGCUAGGACUUUUAGUCCUAGGAUGGAGAGAGUGGACAGCCUGGCUUUGCUCCUAAUUUUUAGUGGAACUGCUUUGAGUUUUUCUCUAUUUAGCAAAUAUUAGCUGUGGGUGCUUGUAUUUAACCUUUAUUAUGUUGAAAUACACACCCUGCAUUCCUAGAUUCUCUAGAAUUUUGAUGGUGAAGGGAUGUUGGAUUUCUGGCAAAGCCUCUUCUUCAUUUUAUGAAAUGAUUAUACACUUUCUAUCUUUAGUCUGCAUUUGUAGUGGAUUACAUUUAUUGAUUUACAUAUAUUGAAUCAUCUCUCUGUAUCUGGGAAGAAGCUUGCUUGAUCAUGCUGGAUCAUUUUAUAGACAUGCAUUUGAACUGGAUAUGCGUGUAUUUAAUAAGAAUUUUUACCUCCAUUUUCAGAGAUAUUGGCCUAUACUUUUCUUUCACUUUUAAAAUUACUUUAUUAGUUCUUUGAGAGUUUCAUAUAAUAUGUUUCAUUCAAUGCUUUCCAGCCCCCUUCCCUAUCCACCCAACUUGUGUUUUAAUCAAUCCUUUAAGACCAGUUUGUGCUGCCUAAAUAUUCUUGAAUGUGUGGCCUUCCAGUGGAGAGUUGAUGACUUGCCAGGGGUAGCUCAGUGAAAUCUGUCUCUCCCUCUCCUAUCAGCUAACAAUUCUUCUUCUUCUUCUUCUUCUUCUUCUUCUUCUUCUUCUUCUUCUUCUUCUUCUUCUUCUUCUUCUUCUUCUUCUUCUUCUUCUCCUUCUCCCUUCUCCUCCCUUCUCCUCCCUUCUCCUCCCUUCUCCUCCCUUCUCCUCCCUUCUCCUCCCUUCUCCUCCCUUCUCCUCCCUUCUCCUCCCUUCUCCUCCCUUCUCCUCCCUUCUCCUCCCUUCUCCUCCCUUCUCCUCCCUUCUCCUCCCUUCUCCUCCCUUCUCCUCCCUUCUCCUCCCUUCUCCUCCCUUCUCCUCCCUUCUCCUCCCUUCUCCUCCCUUCUCCUCCCUUCUCCUCCCUUCUCCCUUCUCCUCCUCCUCCUCCCCCUCCUCCUCCUCCUCCCUCCUCCUCCUCCUCCUCCUCCUCCUCCUCCUCCUCCUCCUCCUCCUCCUUCUUCUUCUUCUUCUUCUUCUUCUUCUUCUUCUUCUUCUUCUUCUUGCCAAUGUUGUCUGUCUACAUAACCCUGUCAGUGCUAGAAGUCUCUAUGUAGAUUAGGCUUUCCUUGAACUAACAGACAUCCCCCUGCCUCUGCCUCACAAAUGCUGGUAUCAAAGGCUUGCAUCAUUAUGCCUGGGGUCUUUUUUGGGGGGUGGGGAUCAUUGUCUGGUUUUGAUAUCAGGGUAGUAGUAGCUUUAUAAAAAUAACUUGGAAGGUUUCCUUUGUUUUCUAUUUUGUGAACUUAUUUGAAGAGUGUUGGUGUUAGUUCUUUGAAAGUCUUAAAGAACUAUGCACUAAAUCCAUCUCUAAGCUUUGUUAGUUGGAAGAUAUUUAGUUACUACUUCUAUCUCAUUAAAUGCCAUUACUCUUUUUAAAAUUAUUUCAUUUUGAUUUAGAUUUAUUAAAACAUUUAUAUCUAAAAGUGAAUUCAUUCUUCAACUUUUGUGAAAUAUAAAAAUUUUAAAUAUGCUCUUGUGAUUCUCUGAAUUUCCUCAGUGUCCAUUGUAAUGUCUCCCUUUCAGCUCUAAUGUGAUUAAUUUUGAUUCCCCUCUUUCUUUUUUCAAUAUGUCUAAAGGUUUGUCAACAUUUUUUCCCCUAAGAAUCAACUUUUUAUUUUUUUUUCAGUACUAUUUAAAAACACAAUGUAUUCCUUGGUAUAAGACCUUCUAGAACAGGUUUUCUUCCCUCUUUUUGUGUUUGUUUUGUUUUGUUUUGUUUUGUUUUGUUUUGUUUUGUUUUGAGACAGGCUCUUCUGUGUAGCCCUGACUGUCGUGGAACUCACUCAGUAGACCAGAUUGACCUCGAACUCAGAGAUACCAGCCUCUCAAAUGCUGGGAUUAAAGGCAGGUGCCACCAUUGCCUAGCUCAGAACAGGUUUUUCAAACCCCUCAGAACCACAGAAAGCUCUUCUGCUAUCUUAACAGGUUGAAGUGCUGUAGACAUCAGGACAUUAGUAAAGCAGAGCCUCUCCCUACCCAGGAAAGCACAGUCCUAUGUGGCACAGACAAGGAGAUAACCAACCACAUAAUUAGCUGUAAGUAAUCAGAACCUGGGACAGUAGAAAUGUGCCAUAUGUGAUAUCAGCGAACUCAAGAGUCUCUUCUCACAUAUGCUUUCAUGCCAAUGUUACUAAGUCAUGUUCUACAAGUGCCCUGACUCCCUUUGUAUUCUGCAUAGAUGGAAAUUCCAUGGAACUGAGUUGUCCAGGAGAUUACUAAUAAAGCUGCAUUAUAUCAAAUCAUCGCAACUCAAACCCAGUAGCUCCUGUUCAAGUCAAGGCGACUGAUGUCCUGGCCAGUCUCUCAUAUGAUAGGGCUCUACACCAAUCUUUGCUAGAAGUCAGAUGGAAGAGGAAGCCAGUGUAGCAAUCUGCCACACUUACAUAGUGUUCUGAAGCACAGCCUUGGGGUGAGGGUGGGGGGCAUGAGCUCUGGAGACCAGGUAAGUGGGAGAUAAUGCUGCUUUAGCAUAGACAUCAGACCAGCAAUAUGUGCAUUUAACAAAGCUGUGCUGGGGGAAAGGGAGGCAAGGGAGCUAAAAAUGGGUAAAGAAAGGAUGUUAUCAAACAUAUCGGGGGGAAAUCAAACAGUUGAGGCAGAGCAAUGCCAACCUUCAUUGGAAAGGUGCUGCUAGAAUGUUGAAAAUUCUAAGAGAUGCCUUUAAGUAGACACUUGCAGGUCUCUUAUUUCACAUCAUGUGCUGGGAGCUGGCAAGGCUUUAUCAGAGAAAGGGCACAGCUCUAAGCCUGGGUUAUAGCCAAAGAAUUCCAUGCUACUUACUUCAUUCUAUCAUAAUCUGACAGUAGGAAUUAUACUCUUAAGAAAAUAUUGUUCAGCCGAAUAGCUAGAAAAGAAUAAUCAGGGAGCCAGGAACGCAAGGCUCAGCAGAGCCUGCAGGGAAAGGGUUGCUAAUUCUUGGCAUCAUGUGUUUCUAUGCAAACAUAGAAGUUGGUAUGCUGUGGGCCUGAUAACUCAGAGAGUUUGCAUCAAGUGCCAACAAAGCAAAGCGCAAAUCCAUAAAAGGUAAAGAAAUGAGAUUUCAUUGAACAUGAACGUAUAGAAGCUAAGUCAGUGAUAAAUCUUGCCAAACACACACACACACACGUUGAUUAAAAUGGGAAAAAAAUAUU